UCACGCGCAGCGCGGUGAGGUCAGUGCGGCGCCGCUGCCGGACCCGCUGCCCCUCGGUGCCCGCGGCCCCCCCGCCCCCUCCCCUCCCUCCUCCUCCUCCUCCUCCGCCCCCGCCGCCGCCCCCGGCCCGCCGGGAGGGAGGGAGGGCGGCCCAGCCCGGCCCGGCCCGGCUCGGCCCCCCUCAGAGCUUUUUGCAGCGAGAGGAGGAAAAUGAAGCUCCGGGGCUGAGGAGCCGCAGCUGGAAUUGAGAGUCGGCAGUGGAGCCGAGCCCGGGCAGGAUCCAUGGCCAGGCCGAGCGAGCUCUGAGUGCGCGGCGGAUUUGGGAUCAAUCCAUGGCAAUGUAUCCUACAAGG